rnacentral:rRNA from 1 species
AGCGAACGCUGGCGGCAGGCCUAACACAUGCAAGUCGAACGAACCUUUCGGGGUUAGUGGCGGACGGGUGAGUAACACGUGGGAACGUGCCUUUAGGUUCGGAAUAACUCAGGGAAACUUGUGCUAAUACCGAAUGUGCCCUUCGGGGGAAAGAUUAAUCGCCUUUAGAGCGGCCCGCGUCUGAUUAGCUAGUUGGUUGAGGUAAUGGCUCACCAAGGCGACGAUCAGUAGCUGGUCUGAGAGGAUGAUCAGCCACAUUGGGACUGAGACACGGCCCAAACACGGGCGGGAGGCGGAAGGGGGGAAGGGCGCGGCAGGGCCGAGAGCGGGGCGCAGCAAGGCGGCGAGAAUAAGGAAGGUGUGAGGAUUAAAAGACGUUUACGCGGGGGAGAGGAAAGGCGGGACCGGGGGAAGAGCCCCCGGCUAAGCACGGGGGAGAAGCCAAGAAUAAUGGGAAGAACAAGCUUCGGAAC